AUGGAGAGAAGCGUCGCCCACAUCAUGUUGGUGCUUUCACUCGGGGCGGCCCUCGUCGUCGCCGGCCGCCCCGCCGGUGCCUCCGACGAGGUGGCCGCCAUUCGCCUCUCGAGCGACGGCCAAGGUCUUGGCGCUGAUGCAACAGCACUUGGGGCGCCCAUGAAGAAGGUCCUGGAGGAGGAUGAGAGGCCGUGGGCAUGCUGCGACGACACCCACUGCCUGAGGGUGCUCCCGAGGGCCUGCCUCUGUCGCGACACGGUGGCGCAGUGCGCCAGCGCGUCCCAGCACUGCGACGAGGUCAGCCCUGGCCGCUACGUUUGCCUGGAUAUACACGAAGGCUGGCCCGGCCCAAAGUGCACGCACCAAGUGGACGUCGCCGGCGCCGGUAACUAG
rnacentral:rRNA from 1 species